rnacentral:rRNA from 1 species
CCUACGGGAGGCAGCAGUGGGGAAUCUUGCGCAAUGGGGGAAACCCUGACGCAGCAACGCCGCGUGAGUGAUGAAGGCCUUCGGGUCGUAAAGCUCUGUCAAGUGGGAAGAACCUGCUCUGUGAUAACACCACGGGGCACCGACGGUACCACUGAAGGAAGCACCGGCUAACUCCGUGCCAGCAGCCGCGGUAAUACGGGGGGUGCUAGCGUUAUUCGGAAUCAUUGGGCGUAAAGGGCGCGUAGGCGGUCUUUUAAGUCAGAUGUGAAAGCCCUCGGCUUAACCGAGGAAGUGCAUUUGAUACUAAAAGACUUGAGUAUGGGAGAGGGAAGCGGAAUUCCUGGUGUAGCGGUGAAAUGAGUUGAUAUCAGGAGGAACACCGGUGGCGAAGGCGGCUCUCUGGCACGAGUCUGACGCUGAGGUGCGAAAGCAUGGGGAGCAAACGGGAUUAGAUACCCCGGUAGUCCAUGCUGUAAACGAUGAGAACUAGGUGUCGGGGGAUCGACCCCCUCGGUGCCGCAGCUAACGCAUUAAGUUCUCCGCCUGGGGAGUACGGUCGCAAGGCUGAAACUUAAAGGAAUUGACGG